GCCUUAGGAUGGGCCGGCGCCUGAUUAGGUUGUUGGCGGUGUAACGACCCACCAAGCCAAUGAUCAGUAAGGGUGCUGAAAGUGGAAGCCCGAAGAGGGCCUCUGAAAGACGGGUCCCAGCCCUACGGGGUGCAGCAGGCGCGAAAACUUUACAAUGCACGAAAGUGUGACACGGGAAUCCACAGUGCUGCCGCCUAGUCGAGGCUUUUGCCGAUUGCAAAUAGAUUGGCGAAUAAGUGGUGGGUAAGACCGGUGCCAGCCGCCGCGGUAACCCCGGCGCCACGAGUGGGGUUCGCGUUUAUUGGGCCUAAAGCGUUCGUAGCCGGUUUGGUAAAUCUCUUGUGAAAUCGUUGGGCUCAACAGGAUAGCAUGCAGAAGACACUUCACAUCUAGAGAACGGGAGACGUCAGAAGUAUUCUGAGGGGAGUGGUAAAAUGCAAUAAUCCAUGGAAGACCACCGAUGGCGAAGGCAUCUAACUAGAACAGAUCCGACGGUGAGGAACGAAAGCCAGGGGAGCGAUCCGGAUUAGAUACCCGAGUAGUCCUGGCCGUAAACUCUGCGAGCUAGGUGUUGCAUAUUCCAUGAGAAUGCGCGGUGUCGAAACGAAGGUGGUAAGCUCACCGCCUGGGAAGUACGGUCGCAAGACUGAAACU
rnacentral:rRNA from 1 species